rnacentral:rRNA from 1 species
AUUGAACGCUUGGCGGCAGGCCUAACACAUGCAAGUCGAACGGUAACAGGAAGCAGCUUGCUGCUUUGCUGACGAGUGGCGGACGGGUGAGUAAUGUCUGGGAAACUGCCUGAUGGAGGGGGAUAACUACUGGAAACGGUAGCUAAUACCGCAUAACGUCGCAAGACCAAAGAGGGGGACCUUCGGGCCUCUUGCCAUCGGAUGUGCCCAGAUGGGAUUAGCUAGUAGGUGGGGUAACGGCUCACCUAGGCGACGAUCCCUAGCUGGUCUGAGAGGAUGACCAGCCACACUGGAACUGAGACACGGUCCAGACUCCUACGGGAGGCAGCAGUGGGGAAUAUUGCACAAUGGGCGCAAGCCUGAUGCAGCCAUGCCGCGUGUAUGAAGAAGGCCUUCGGGUUGUAAAGUACUUUGCAGCGGGGAGGAAGGCGAUAAGGUUAAUAACCUUGUCGAUUGACGUUACCCGCCGAAGAAGCACCGCUAA